UACAGAGGUCCCAAGCGUUGUUCGGAUUUACUGGGCGUAAAGGGUGCGUAGGUGGCGGGGUAAGUCUGGUGUGAAAGCUCCGAGCUCAACUCGGAAAAGCAUUGGAAACUAUUCCGCUAGAGGGUCGGAGGGGAGACUGGAAUUCUCGGUGUAGCAGUGAAAUGCGUAGAUAUCGAGAGGAACACCAGUGGCGAAGGCGAGUCUCUGGACGACUCCUGACACUGAGGCACGAAAGCGUGGGGAGCGAACCGG
rnacentral:rRNA from 1 species